CACGUAGGCACCAAGCGUUGUCCGGAUUUAUUGGGCGUAAAGAGCUCGUAGGCGGUUCAGUAAGUCGGGUGUGAAAACUUUGGGCUUAACCCAAAGCGUGCAUCUGAUACUGCUGUGACUUGAGUUCGGUAGGGGAGUGGGGAAUUCCUAGUGUAGCGGUGAAAUGCGCAGAUAUUAGGAGGAACACCGGUGGCGAAGGCGCCACUCUGGGCCGAUUCUGACACUGAGGAGCGAAAGCGUGGGGAGCGAACAGG
rnacentral:rRNA from 1 species